rnacentral:misc_RNA from 1 species
UUUCCGUAGGUGAACCUGCGGAAGGAUCAUUACCGAGCGAGGGCCCUCUGGGUCCAACCUCCCACCCGUGUCUCUUGUACCUCGGUGCUUCGCCGUGCCCGCCUCACGGCCGCCGGGGGGCAUCUCGCCCCCGGGCCCGCGCCCGCCGAAGACACCCACGAACUCUGUCUGAAGAAUGCAGUCUGAGUGAGAUGAUAAAUUAUUUAAAACUUUCAACAACGGAUCUCUUGGUUCCG